rnacentral:piRNA from 1 species
UGACUGCCCGACACUUGGUUUCCAUGGA